UUCAAAAGGGCAGAUGCAGACUGCAGAGGAGGGAUGAAUGGAUAGACAGAAAGACAAGGAAACCGAAAAUGAGAGAGCAAGAAAUGGCAGAGACACAACUGAUGCGCAAAAUUGCCAAAAUCUUCGACGAGGCCAAAACGUCCAACGCCACCCAUCACCGCAAGCUGAAAGAGCUCUCAGCCGUCCGAUCAAAAUUCGCCUCCCUUCAUCAAUUCUCCGUCGCCUUCGCCAGAACCUUAACCCCUCUCUUUCAAAUCCAAAAGCGAACGGCCUCCGUGGAACGCGUCGUACGCUUCGUUUCAGCCUUUGCCAGUGCCCGAGACCCCAUUGACGCUGUCGCUAGCGAUGAGUUCUUGGAGGGCUUUCUAAAGUUUCUCUUGGUUGGCGCUGCGGCCGCUAAUAAAACCGCCCGAUUCAGGGCUUGCCAGAUUAUUUCCGAGAUCAUACUGCGGCUGCCUGAUGACUCAGAAGUGAGCAAUGAACUAUGGGAUGAGGUGAUAGAGUUAAUGAAAUCUCGGGCGGUGGACAAGGUUCCUCUGAUCCGCACACUUGCUGUUAGGGCGCUUUCACGAUUUGCGAAUGAUGCUGAAAACAGCGAUGUUCUUGAUUUGUUUCUCGAGGUCCUUCCAUUGGAACAGAAUUCGGAGGUUCGUAAGACCAUUGUGUUAUCCUUGCCCCCUUCCAAUACAACUUCCCAAUUAAUCAUCGAUUGUACAAUGGAUGUAAGUGAGUCAGUACGCAAAGCAGCAUACUGUGUUAUAGCUAACAAAUUUCCUCUUCAUAGCCUCAGCAUCAAGCAAAGGACAAUAAUUCUUCAGAGAGGACUUGCUGAUCGUUCUUGGGCUGUUUCGAAGGAGUGUUUGAAGUUAAUGACAGAUCAGUGGCUUGCUAAGUGCUGCAAUGGAGAUCCUAUAGAACUUCUCAAGUAUCUCGAUGUUGAAACCUAUGAAUCAGUUGGGGAGUCUGUAAUGGAGUCUCUUCUAAGAGCUGGUUUAGUAAAACUGGAUGAUGGGCAAAGUAUGCGGCAAUAUGUAUUACCAGCAUCAACGAAUGAAAGAAUCGAAGGAUAUUUAGCAGAUUAUUCUGCAAGCAUCCAACUAAUGGAACCUGAGGUCUCUCUUUAUUGGAGGACAGUAUGCAAACAUUUGCAGAUGGAAGCACAAGCUAAAGGUUCUGAUGCUGCUGCUACAACAGGAACUGAAGCAGCUGUAUAUGCUGCAGAAGCUUCAGACAACAAUGAUCUCUUAGAUAAAAGUCUUCCUGAAACUGUCUUUGAUUACAUAGAUUUGGUCAAGGCUCAUAUUGAUGCUGGGGCAAAUUAUCACUUUGCAUCUCGACAGCUACUACUGCUCGGCGAAAUGCUUGAUUUUUCAGAUGCUACAAUCAGGAAGGUUGCUAGCUCCUUUGUGCAAGACCUACUGCACAGGCCUCUUGAGCAUGAAGUGGAUGAUGAAGGCAACAAAGUUGUGAUUGGAGAUGGCAUAAAUCUUGGUGGUGACAGAGAUUGGGCUAUUGCAGUGGCGAGGUUGGCAAGGAAGGUUCACUCUGCCACUGGUGAAUUUGAAGAAGUUAUUCUUGGGGUUGUAGAAGAGCUUGCACGUCCUUGCCGGGAGAGAACUGCUGACUUUAUGCAAUGGAUGCACAGCCUUGCUGUCACUGGUCUUCUCUUGGAAAAUGCAAAAUCAUUUCAUUUUGAACUGCUUCAUUCUUUGUUGCUUCCUGGGGCAAAACAUGUUCACUUGGAUGUGCAGAGGAUAGCUGUCCGGUGCCUAGGUUUGUUUGGGUUGUUAGAGAAUAAACCAAGCGAAGAACUAAUAAAGCAGUUGAGGAUCUCCUAUGUUAAGGGCCCUUCUCCAAUUAGCACAGUUGCUUGUAAGGCGUUAUUUGAUCUUGGGAUGUGGCAUGGUCCUCAGGAAGUUGAUAGGGCCAUGGGACUUAACUUUUCUACACAGCUCCAAGAAGAUAACAUGCCCUCUAUUCCUGUAAACUUUUCUGACACAGAUGGAGAUUUGAAUAUUCAAUUACUUGAUCUCUUAUAUGCUGGAUUUAUGACAAAUAAUUGGGGUACAGCUCUAGAAAAUGAUGAAAGUGAAUCAGUCCAAGCUGUUCUUGGAGAGGGAUUUGCAAAGAUCCUUCUUCUAAGUGAGAAGUAUCCAAGUAUACCAGCCUCUUUUCAUCCUUUGCUCUUAUCCAAGCUGAUUAGCUUGUAUUUCAGUAAUGAAUCGAAGGACCUACAGAGAUUGAAACAGUGUUUAUCUGUUUUCUUCGAGCAUUACGCUUCCCUUUCAGCAAAUCACAAGAAGUGUUUGUCCAAGGCUUUCAUUCCAGUCAUUCGUUGUAUGUGGCCGGGUAUAAAUGACCAUUCUGGAGGUUCUUCUUACAUGGUGUCCAACAUGCGUAAGCGUGCAGUACAAGCUUCAAGAUUCAUGCUGCAAAUGAUGCAGACUCCCCUAUAUGUGAAAGAGACUGAAGUGGAGGAGGAUAUUGGUUGUAAGACAGCACCACAAGUCAUAGAUGGCUCUGAACAUCCUUCAGUAGAAUGUGGGGAAGAGGGACUUGCAAUACGCAUAGCCGCAGAGGUGGUGAGGUUCCAAGCGAAGAAGACACCCGCGGAGAGGUCAUAUGUUGCAGCUCUAUGUAAAAUACUUGCCUCUCUCCAUUUCCGCUUAUCAGAACAAGGGCCAGUAAAGAUAAUGCGGAGGCUUUUGAGUCGUGCAUGUGAAUGUGUGCUGGGAGAGAAAGAUGUUGUAAAGGAGUUGAAGCAGAUGGCUGAACGUCUUAAGGAACUAGAUAGACAUCCUGAUCAGGAUUUGUCUGAAGACGAAGCUAAGUUGAUUUUUGGAAGGUUAGACCUUGAAUUCGACUUAGAUAUGGAUGGUUCCACUGCAGUUCCACAAAGCCCAGCCCCACGCUCAACUCGGCCAAUUCGUGUAAGGAGACGGGUGAGACGUGAAGAAGUUAGUUCUGAUGAAGAAAACGAAAACUCACCUGCCUCUUUCCAAUCCGUGGUUCCCACCGUUCCUGGCACUAUAGGCACUCGCUCACAAAGGGCAAGCAAGACUGCAGCACUGGCCAAGAUGACUGCGAGUAAAGCUGUAAGGACAGAAGAAGAUUGUGAUGAAAAUGAGGACUCAGAUGUCACGUCUGAGGAUUCUCAAGAAUCAGAUGAGCUUACUGACUGAAACCCGAGCCGGUUAAUACUCCUUACCUUAACCCCUGGUCAUUUAUCUGUUGCUGCUAUGAUCUUGUUCUGAAUAUUCCAAUGAGGCUCCAGAUUUUUGUAUUGAUUAUAUGUGGUGCGAGUGUUUCCAAUUCCAGGUUCGGGGUUGGGGCAUGCAACUCGUGGAAUUAGCAUACAAGUGCAUUUGCCCCUCUGAUGCCUCUCAUGCAAGUUCAUGAGCUAUGGUUACUUUCAGCAGCACCUGCUUCUCGAUCUUCAACUGCUUCAUCCUCAUCCUGCUCGCCUUUUGUUGCUUCCCCUCGGCUAUCACAUUUGCCAAGGAAGAUGCAAAAUUCAAUGAGGUAGCUCCAGAUGGGAUAGGCAGCACAUGCCCAAAUGUUCAUCCAUCUAUAUUUACCUUAUCAAACAAUCAUGACGGUAGCUAUCCACCACCAUCCAAAGAAAACAAAAAACACGUGGUUGUGGGUAGCAUAGCAUGCAAAGCAAUGUGAGCCAUGGUGUGAAAUACAGGAAGAGACUUGGACUAAGACGAUCCAGAUUCAACGAUUUCUCCAAGCAUCAGCAUGGUUGGAUAGUUUUUAUGUUUAUGACCUUUUAAUUUCUCAACAAUUCGGUAUUAGGUAACUAUUCCAAGUGCAUAUAGCCAUUCCCACACAGAUUUAUGUCCUUAUGCAGGAGACAUCUUCUCAUCAACAUGUUCACCACAUGCUAUGUGAUCAACAUUGCAUCAUGGUAAAUUAUCAUCGCUAUUGGAAAUAAAAAAGAAGAAAUGAAAACAUACAUUAAUUU